UCUUAAUAGUAAUUGUUACGUCGUAUAAUUUCGGGAAUAGGGCCCGAGCGUUUCUACCAAGCUACCGUAAAUGGCUUGACUACGAGGUAAUUGAUAGAUGGA
rnacentral:ncRNA from 2 species